UACAGAGACUGCGAGCGUUAUUCGGAUUCACUGGGCGUAAAGGGUGCGCAGGCGGCCGAGUGUGUGAGGCGUGAAAGCCCGGGGCUUAACCCCGGAAUUGCACCUCAAACUACACGGCUAGAGCAUUGGAGAGGGUAGCAGAAUUCACGGUGUAGCAGUGAAAUGCGUAGAUAUCGUGAGGAAUACCAGAGGCGAAGGCGGCUACCUGGACAAUUGCUGACGCUCAGGCACGAAUGCGUGGGGAGCAAAAGGG
rnacentral:rRNA from 1 species